rnacentral:rRNA from 1 species
AUUGAACGCUGGCGGCAGGCCUAACACAUGCAAGUCGAACGCGUGGCGGACGGGUGAGUAAUGUCGGGGAAACUGCCUGAUGGAGGGGGAUACCUACUGGAAACGGUAGCUAAUACCGCAUACCAUCAGAUGUGCCCAGAUGGGAUUAGCUAGUGGGUGGGGUAACUGCUCACCAAGGCGACGAUCCCUAGCUGGUCUGAGAGGAUGACCAGCCACACGGGAACUGUGACACGGUCCAGACUCCUACGGGAGGCAGCAGUGGGGAAUAUGGAACAAUGGGCGCAAGCGUGAUGCAGCCAUGCCGCGAGUAUGAAGAAGGCCUUCGGGUUGUAAAGUACUUUCAGCGGGGAGGCGUUAGCCGCAGAAGAAGCACCGGGUAACUCCGUGCCAGCAGCCGCGGUAAUUC